GACGAACGCUGGCGGCGUGCUUAACACAUGCAAGUCGAACGGAAAGGCCCUGCUUUUGUGGGGUGCUCGAGUGGCGAACGGGUGAGUAACACGUCAGUAACCUGCCCUUGACUUUGGGAUAACUUCAGGAAACUGGGGCUAAUACCGGAUAGGUGCUCCUGCUGCAUGGUGGGGGUUGGAAUGUUUCGGCGGUUGGGGAUGGACUCGCGGCUUAUCAGCUUGUUGGUGGGGUAGUGGCUUACCAAGGCUUUGACGGGUAGCCGGCCUGAGAGGGUGACCGGCCACAUGGGGACUGAGAUACGGCCCAGACUCCUACGGGAGGCAGCAGUGGGGAAUAUUGCACAAUGGGCGGAAGCCUGAUGCAGCAACGCCGCGUGCGGGAUGACGGCCUUCGGGUUGUAAACCGCUUUCGCCUGUGACGAAGCGUGAGUGACGGUAAUGGGUAAAGAAGCACCGGCUAACUACGUG
rnacentral:rRNA from 1 species